CUUUUUUUGUGGUGAGAACACCUAAAAUCUACUCUCUUGGCAAGUUUCAAGAAUACGGUUUUAUGUGGUCCAGAGAGGCUGCAUCAGUCUCAGGCCCCUAAGCCUUGCCUGGUUCAACAGUAUUAUUUCACUCACGCUGGUCACCCCAUUGUUAGAAAGAGCAAGGAAAGGAGGAUGAGAAAGGAAGAGAGGGAGGGAGAAAAUUGUCCCCAAGAAAAGGAAACUAUUGUCUGGGUGAUGGACAGAUGGUUUCCUCAAUUUAUAUAAUUUAAGAUACAGAUCAUUCCCAAUACAACUUAGAAUCUCAUUAGUCAGUACAAUUUUCUGAAGGUAAGACUGUG
rnacentral:lncRNA from 1 species